rnacentral:rRNA from 1 species
AGUAACGCGUAGGAAUCUACCCAGUAGCGGGGGAUAACAUGUGGAAACGCAUGCUAAUACCGCAUACGCCCUAAGGGGGAAAGCAGGGGAUCUUCGGACCUUGCGCUAUUGGAUGAGCCUGCGUCGGAUUAGCUAGUUGGUGGGGUAAUGGCCCACCAAGGCGACGAUCCGUAGCUGGUCUGAGAGGAUGAUCAGCCACACUGGGACUGAGACACGGCCCAG